rnacentral:rRNA from 1 species
CGGUAGCAGCUUGCUCUGGAUUCAGCGGCGGACGGGUGAGUAAUGCCUAGGAAUCUGCCUGGUAGUGGGGGAUAACGUCCGGAAACGGGCGCUAAUACCGCAUACGUCCUGAGGGAGAAAGUGGGGGAUCUUCGGACCUCACGCUAUCAGAUGAGCCUAGGUCGGAUUAGCUAGUUGGUGGGGUAAAGGCCUACCAAGGCGACGAUCCGUAACUGGUCUGAGAGGAUGAUCAGUCACACUGGAACUGAGACACGGUCCAGACUCCUACGGGAGGCAGCAGUGGGGAAUAUUGGACAAUGGGCGAAAGCCUGAUCCAGCCAUGCCGCGUGUGUGAAGAAGGUCUUCGGAUUGUAAAGCACUUUAAGUUGGGAGGAAGGGCAGUAAGUUAAUACCUUGCUGUUUUGACGUUACCAACAGAAUAAGCACCGGCUAACUUCGUGCCAGCAGCCGCGGUAAUACGAAGGGUGCAAGCGUUAAUCGGAAUUACUGGGCGUAAAGCGCGCGUAGGUGGUUCAGCAAGUUGGAUGUGAAAUCCCCGGGCUCAACCUGGGAACUGCAUCCAAAACUACUGAGCUAGAGUACGGUAGAGGGUGGUGGAAUUUCCUGUGUAGCGGUGAAAUGCGUAGAUAUAGGAAGGAACACCAGUGGCGAAGGCGACCACCUGGACUGAUACUGACACUGAGGUGCGAAAGCGUGGGGAGCAAACAGGAUUAGAUACCCUGGUAGUCCACGCCGUAACGAUGUCGACUAGCCGUUGGGAUCCUUGAGAUCUUAGUGGCGCAGCUAACGCGAUAAGUCGACCGCCUGGGGGAGUACGGCCGCAAGGUUUAAAACUCAAAUGAAUUUGACGGGGGGGCCCGCACAAAGCGGUGGGAAGCAUGGUGGGUUUUAAACUC